UACCUACAUAUAAGAUUAGAGGAUGCAUGGGGCCACCCAAGAAGCUGCACCUGUUAGGAAUUGCGACAUCGCGCACACCUGCGCUUCCAGAGAGUGUUGCGGCAAUCAUCGCCACCGCGACGCUGCAGCUACCCCGCCGAGGAGGACGAGCACUCUUAGUUCUAACAUCGAACGGGAGGGACGUAGGUUAAGUUAGGAGUAAUUUAUUAUGUAAUUUUUUUUACAAUAAAUAAUUUAAAGUAAAUUUCGGUUUUUUUUGCGCCUUCGCGGGCCGGUCGAUAUAAUUGGCGCAGUCUUGUGGAUGAUCCUCGAGAGCCGUCUCUCGGAACGCGAAACUACAAGCAUCGAGAAUUGCCAUUCCAUCGGAGGGACGACGACGGGGACCAAGAACCUACAUCUAUUGGCCGCCGCAACGCGAAGGGUAUCCGAACAUUGAUACUGCAAGAAAGGCCGAAAUGAAAAUCCUAAUCCUUCCUCUGAUCCUGUGCCAGAUUCAAGCAGAAGAUCCCACCCUGACUAGCUUGGAUGACGGACCUGGUAUAUUACCAUUUAAUAUUGGAACUGCUAGAAUUGUCACUCAUUAUCAUUCAUUUUUGCAAAUUAUUAAUUUAAAGGAUAUUCGUGAUAGUAUAACCAUAGUAAAGGAUCAAUUAAAUUCAUUAACGCCUAA